GCAGGGCACCUUUAUCAGUUCAUUUAGAUUCAUGUAAUGAUGGAUUGAAUGUGUUGUUGCAUUUAAAAUGUCUACAUGGACACUACAAAGCGAACAUUCUUGGACUAAAAGCCUCGAAACCUGAAUUUCUAAAUCAAAUCAUGUUGUUUAAAAUGUGUUUGUUAUUGGACAGCUAGCAAUGAAUUUCUUUGAAGGUUUAUCACAGACUCUCAGGCCUUCAGACUAACUAAUAAAUCGGUAGUUGUUGCUUUAACUUAUAUAAUCUUUUAAUGAAUGUUAUAUUAUAUACAAUGUUAUAAAGUGGCAUAAUAAUGAAUCGUGCUGUUUGUCUCUUCUGAAAUUGUAGUCAGUACUGUCAGUAGUAUUCUAACUAUCUCUGACCUGUUAACACUUGGACAGCUUUAUGUUGAAGCAUUUAUAUAUUAAAUAUUUUUGAAACCCAGUAUGUAAAUGUGUAUGCACAUUUAUUUAAUUAAAAAUACAGAAGAAAUAAACUGGGGAGAAAAGUAGAUUGAACUAAGAGAUUAUUAAGGGUACAGCAUUACUUUAGGAUAAUAUACUCUGCAAUGUUUUUACACUUGUUUUUAGGAAAUAAAUGUAUGUAGUUAACUUACAUGUAUUCACUAUUAUUCAAAUUUAGAUUUUUUUUAUAUGCAAUGUCUGUAUUUGUGUCUUGUCUCUCCAGAAGAAGUGAUGUGUUGUUGGUUGGAAGCAGAGCUCUGGACGUGUGGACAGAUGUUGACUGUAAUGAUGGACAUCUGCUCAUGGACAGUGUGUGCAAAAGUAUAACCGCUGCGGGUCACAGUGCUGGAAGCUCCAGGGGGAGACCGUACUGAUAUCCCCCUUCUUCAGGCGCGCCUUCACACACACUCCUCCAUUCACUCGUAUCGCAGAGACCUGGCUGGGAUCGAACCAGCAACCUCUGAACCGUGAGGCAGCGCUCUUACCUGCGAGCCACAGAUCUCUUACUGGGACACCUGAAGGAACUUAUAUUUGACUGUUUACCUGUGAUUACCCAAUAAAGAAGUUAAAAUAAGCUGGGUAUAUGAUUUUUGGAGGUGGGAUUUGAACUCACAUCUCCAUCACAGUCGCUCACCCUCAAAGAUAGUGUGUUUAUCCACUAACCCAUCAUGGAUUUCAUGCUGUGUUUUAGUGACUUUGUUGGCUGAGUUGGAUUUAAAGUAAGCAAUUGUGGGAUUUGAACUCAGAGCUCCUGAAUUAAAACAAAGAGCUUUAUCUCCUGAUCAACUGAGUCUGUCGAGUCAUUUAGCAUUUCGAACAGGUUUUUAUUGAGAGAUUUGUUCUAAACAAUGAAUAAUGACCAUGAGGUUUGAACCAGGAUUUUCAUGUUUGAGAUUGAAGCCUUCAACCACUGAGCCACAGAAGCAGUGAUGAUAUUUUGUUGCUGUUUUUACAGUCAUUUAAAUUUUAAGUUUAUUAUACUCGAUUGUAAUUCACAAAACUCACCACAACGUGUCUGAGUCUACUCUGAACCAAGACUAACGAACGCCCUCCUGUGGUGUUUUUUGUGCAUUGCUAUUUUAGCUCAUUGUUUGUGUGUGAUUUUGUUCUGUCCUCUUCUACUAAAACAAACUGAAGUGCAAAAAAGUCAGAGGACCUAAAGCAGGCCCUCAUGUGGUGAUUUUUGGGAAUUACACCGCUGCAAAUUGAGUCUAAUGAACUUAAACAGGAAUUUGUACUGUUCUGUCUGUUCAUGUUAAAAUACAUCUAUAAAAAAUCUAACAUUUUUCACGAAUAGCAGAAUGAGAGAAACUGAAGUGCGGUUUUUCAUCCGCUCCACGAGGCGGCGCAAGCGGGUUUCAGCUUCAGUCUGACACCUUCGACUGCGUGACAACACGACGCUCGAGUCACAACAACAACAACACGUGCGGAUCCUCCACGAGGCGGCGCAAACGGGUUCUAGCUUCAGUCUGACACCUUCGACUGCGUGACAACACGACGCUCGAGUCACAACAACAACAACACGUGCGGAUCCUGCAGAUGAGAGCUGUCAAUGUCAGUUUAACAACAUGUUUUUCAGCUAAUCUGCGAAUAAAUCCGACACACGGUCCGAUGAAACGCUGGAAUCGAGUGUGACGCGACUCACCUGUAAGUAACUUAAAGCGCAUUUCUCUUGUUCAGUGACGUGCACGCGCUGUUUAACAGAUGAUUCUGUAGUUGUUGCGUUUCGUUUAUAAUCUCUGAUCGAAUGGCCCUGAUAUUGACUUUGUAAAGUGUAAUAACGAGGGCUCGUGCUGUUUGUCUGUUGAUCGUGCAGCAGCUGUUGUGUGAAGCUCUG
rnacentral:lncRNA from 1 species